CCUACGGGAGGCAGCAGUGAGGGAUAUUGGUCAAUGGGGGAAACCCUGAACCAGCAACGCCGCGUGAGGGAAGACGGUUUUCGGAUUGUAAACCUCUGUCCACUGGGAAGAUAAUGACGGUAUCCGUGGCGGAUGCUCCGGCUAACUACGGGCCAGCAGCGGCGGUAAUACGCAGGGAGCAAGCGUUGUCCGGAUUUACUGGGUGUAAAGGGUGCGUAGGCGGGCUGGCAAGUAAGAAGUGAAAUCCUUGGGCUUAACCCUUGAACUGCAUUUGAAACUGUAGGUCUUGAGUGAAGUAGAGGCAGGCGGAAUUCCCGGUGUAGCGGUGAAAUGCGUAGAGAUCGGGAGGAACACCAGUGGCGAAGGCGGCCUGCUGGGCUUUAACUGACGCUGAAGCACGAAAGCGUGGGUAGCAAACAGGAUUAGAUACCCGUGUAGUC
rnacentral:rRNA from 1 species